AAUCAACGCUGGCGGCGUGCCUAAUACAUGCAAGUCGAACGCGAAAGUGGAGCAAUCCAUGAGUAGAGUGGCAAACGGGUGAGUAACGCGUGGGUGACCUGCCUUCGAGUGGGGGAUAACGUUUCGAAAGGAACGCUAAUACCGCAUGACAUCCUGCCUUUUAACAGGUGGAGAUCAAAGCUGGGGAUCGCAAGACCUAGCGCUUGAAGAGGGGCCCGCGUCCGAUUAGCAGUUGGUGGGGUAACGGCUCACCAAGGCAACGAUCGGUAGCCGGCCUGAGAGGGCGGACGGCCACACUGGGACUGAGACACGGCCCAGACUCCUACGGGAGGCAGCAGUAGGGAAUUGUUCGCAA
rnacentral:rRNA from 1 species